rnacentral:rRNA from 1 species
CGCGUCUGAUUAGCUAGUUGGUGGGGUAAAAGCCUACCAAGGCAACGAUCAGUAGCCGGCCUGAGAGGGUGAACGGCCACAUUGGGACUGAGACACGGCCCAAACUCCUACGGGAGGCAGCAGUGGGGAAUAUUGCACAAUGGGGGAAACCCUGAUGCAGCGACGCCGCGUGAGUGAAGAAGUAUUUCGGUAUGUAAAGCUCUAUCAGCAGGGAAGAAAUACUGACCAUAGGGUCAGCAGACGGUACUUGACUAAGAAGCCCCGGCUAACUACGUGCCAGCAGCCGCGGUAAUACGUAGGGGGCAAGCGUUAUCCGGAUUUACUGGGUGUAAAGGGAGCGUAGACGGCAGCGCAAGUCUGAAGUGAAAUGCCAGGGCUUAACCCUGGAACUGCUUUGGAAACUGUGCAGCUAGAGUGCAGGAGAGGUAAGUGGAAUUUCUAGUGUAGCGGUGAAAUGCGUAGAUAUUAGGAGGAACACCAGUGGCGAAGGCGGCUUACUGGACUGUAACUGACGUUGAGGCUCGAAAGCGUGGGGAGCAAACAGGAUUAGAUACCCUGGUAGUCCACGCUGUAAACGAUGAUUACUAGGUGUUGGGGGACCAAGGUUCUUCG